rnacentral:rRNA from 1 species
AUUGAACGCUGGCGGCAUGCCUUACACAUGCAAGUCGAACGGCAGCACGGGAGCAAUCCUGGUGGCGAGUGGCGAACGGGUGAGUAAUACAUCGGAACGUGCCCAGUAGUGGGGGAUAACCCGGCGAAAGCCGGACUAAUACCGCAUACGACCUACGGGUGAAAGCAGGGGAUCGCAAGACCUUGCGCUAUCGGAGCGGCCGAUGUCAGAUUAGCUUGUUGGCGGGGUAAAAGCCCACCAAGGCGACGAUCUGUAGCUGGUCUGAGAGGACGACCAGCCACACUGGGACUGAGACACGGCCCAGACUCCUACGGGAGGCAGCAGUGGGGAAUUUUGGACAAUGGGCGCAAGCCUGAUCCAGCCAUGCCGCGUGCGGGAAGAAGGCCUGGUUGUAACG